CUACCGACGCAACCUUUCCCCCUCAUUUCUGAAACCUCUCUCUCUUUAAUCUCUUAUUCUCUUUCUACAGCUCCAAGAGCUCUCAUCGUUCUUCUUCUUCGAAACCGAAGCAAAUCAAACUAACAAACUCUGAAAUCUCAAUCCCCUGGAUGAGAGAAACUCGAAUAUAUCCUUGCAUGCAUCAUUAGAGCACCAUUUGGGUGAUCCACCAUUGAAGCCGAGAGCUUCAAGCUUCCAUUGCUCAAACCCAAAUGAGCCCACGUCACAUUGCCUUCGGGUGCUCGGGCCUGCUCGGGCUCGCUCGCCAAUACACGCUGCACUUCAUCACUCGGGCUACGUACAAGGCCCUGUUCCUACGCCUGUCCCUCGAGCUGAAGCACACGGUGGACUUGCUCUUACAUGCCAGACAUAUCACCAAACAAUUGUAAUCAAUGAGAUGCGAGACAUGGUAAGCAAUUGAUAUGUAGGGAGAAGAGGUUGCAAAAAAUAGAGGGGAAAAAGAAGGGAAAAGAUCAAUUAAACAAACUGAUAUAUGUAUCUUUGCAGCAUUGUUUGGAUAUUUGUAUAAUUAUUUAAGAAAAA